GACGAACGCUGGCGGCGUGCUUAACACAUGCAAGUCGAACGGAAAGGCCCUGCUUUUGUGGGGUGCUCGAGUGGCGAACGGGUGAGUAACACGUGAGUAACCUGCCCUUGACUUUGGGAUAACUUCAGGAAACUGGGGCUAAUACCGGAUAGGAGCUCCUGCUGCAUGGUGGGGGUUGGAAAGUUUCGGCGGUUGGGGAUGGACUCGCGGCUUAUCAGCUUGUUGGUGGGGUAGUGGCUUACCAAGGCUUUGACGGGUAGCCGGCCUGAGAGGGUGACCGGCCACAGUGGGACUGAUAUACGGCCCAGACUCCUACGGGAGGCAGCAGUGGGGAAUAUUGCACAAUGGGCGGAAGCCUGAUGCAGCAACGCCGCGUGCGGGAUGACGGCCUUCGGGUUGUAAACCGCUUUCGCCUGUGACGAAGCGUGAGUGACGGUAAUGGGUAAAGAAGCACCGGCUAACUACGUG
rnacentral:rRNA from 1 species